rnacentral:rRNA from 1 species
UACGGAGGGUGCAAGCAUUAAUCGGAUUUAUUGGGCGUAAAGGGCGCGUAGGCGGGCCUGUAAGUCAGAUGUGAAAUCCCGGGGCUCAACCCCGGAACUGCAUUUGAAACUACAAGUCUAAGAGGGUAGAUGGAGAAAAUGGAAUUCCACAAGUAGCGGUGAAAUGCGUAGAUAUGUGGAAGAACACCAGUGGCGAAGGCGGUUUUCUAAUUUAUACCUGACGCUAAAGCGCGAAAGCUAGGGGAUCAAACAGG